AACGAACGCUGGCGGCAUGCCUAACACAUGCAAGUCGAACGAGACCUUCGGGUCUAGUGGCGCACGGGUGCGUAACGCGUGGGAACCUGCCCUUAGGUUCGGAAUAACUCCCCGAAAGGGGUGCUAAUACCGGAUAAUGUCUUCGGACCAAAGAGUUAUCGCCUUUGGAUGGGCCCGCGUUGGAUUAGCUAGUUGGUAGGGUAAAAGCCUACCAAGGCGACGAUCCAUAGCUGGUCUGAGAGGAUGAUCAGCCACACUGGAACUGAGACACGGCCCAGACUCCUACGGGAGGCAGCAGUGGGGAAUAUAGGAAAAUGGGCGAAGGCCUGAUGCAGCAAUGCCGCGUGAGUGAUGAAGGCCUUGGAGAUGUAAAGCUCUAUUACCCGGGAUGAUAAUGACGGUACCGGGAGAAUAAGCUCCGGCUAACUCCGUG
rnacentral:rRNA from 1 species